rnacentral:lncRNA from 1 species
AAAAAACGGUUGUUCCGUGUGGAAACAUUAAAUGAGAAACGCAGCCAUGGAAAAGUCAGAUGUGCACACAUGUACACACGCUGAGCGACAACAACAACAACCACCAAGUGGGAAUUUUAGUGCAGAUCUCUAAAAACAACAAAUACCAACCAGUGAUAAAGCGUG